UUACGUUUAAGAUGAAUAUAUGCUGUAGUAUCAAUGGAAAGUAGUUAAAUAUCUAUAUAACCUGCUUGACAUGUAACGGUGGAACCAUCAUGAGAAAUGUGAGGUUUGAGGGUGUGCUGUGCUGAAUGUUUCCCAGUAUAAGUAGAUCCUAAUAUUACUAGCAUGAUAUCAGGUGGUGGCUGACCUCCUACAGCUGUACAUUUAAUAUGCAUAUCCUGUCCUUCUAUACCAAG
rnacentral:lncRNA from 1 species